CCUACGGGAGGCAGCAGUGAGGAAUAUUGGUCAAUGGACGGAAGUCUGAACCAGCCAUGCCGCGUGCAGGAAGACGGCUCUAUGAGUUGUAAACUGCUUUUGUACAAGGGUAAACCUGAAUACGUGUAUUCAGCUGAAAGUACUGUACGAAUAAGGAUCGGCUAACUCCGUGCCAGCAGCCGCGGUAAUACGGAGGAUCCAAGCGUUAUCCGGAUUUAUUGGGUUUAAAGGGUGCGUAGGCGGAUUGAUAAGUUAGAGGUGAAAUGUCCGGGCUUAACUCCGGAACUGCCUCUAAUACUUUCGAUCUAGAGAGUAGUUGCGGUAGGCGGAAUGUAUGGUGUAGCGGUGAAAUGCUUAGAGAUCAUACAGAACACCGAUUGCGAAGGCAGCUUACCAAUCUAUAUCUGACGUUGAGGCACGAAAGCGUGGGGAGCAAACAGGAUUAGAUACCCCGGUAGUC
rnacentral:rRNA from 1 species